UUUUCUCAACAAGUUGAUUGGUAAUUACCUGUAUUUCCUCAACCCUAGAUUCGGCAGUGGACUGAUUGGUGUGGUACGGAUGAUUAUAAAGGUUAAAUUUACUUAUAUUGGCACAAUCAACACUGUUGUUCAUUACCAUCAAGGUGGCUAAAAGGCGAGAAACGUUGUUGAUUUAGCUUUUGUUAAGGGAUACUUAGUCGCAAGUGAUGGCUGCUAAAGGCUACCUGACUAGAAGAUCAUAAAAAAUAUUAAUUUCGAUGAGCAUAUGUGCUAUUUUUAGUAUGUUUUGGUUACUAUGUAAUCACAUGAAAGCUGUAGGUGGAGCAAAAGAGAGCAGCCCAAGUCUCUAGCCACUGCAACCGGCUCUAUCCUACAGGUUGAUUGUGAUUGGGAGCAACACUAAACUUUCCGAUGGAGAAGAUAAGUGGCAAUGGAAAAGAAGUUGUGAUGGGAGGAGAUCACAACCCAUUUGAACGAGGACACCUCUUUUGUUUCAUGGGAGCUUUUCUGAUAAUUUGAUACGUUUAUAGUGGUUCAGUUAAUAUCGGUGAUAUAUCGGUUAUCGGUCCCCAUGUAAAAUAUUGGUGUCAAUUAUUGGUCAGAAUAUCGAUACCAAUCGGCGAUAUU
rnacentral:lncRNA from 1 species